rnacentral:rRNA from 1 species
GAUGAACGCUGGCGGCGUGCCUAAUACAUGCAAGUCGAGCGAACAGACGAGGAGCUUGCUCCUUUGACGUUAGCGGCGGACGGGUGAGUAACACGUAGGUAACCUACCUAUAAGACUGGGAUAACUUCGGGAAACCGGAGCUAAUACCGGAUAAUAUUUCGAACCGCAUGGUUCGAUAGUGAAAGAUGGCUUUGCUAUCACUUAUAGAUGGACCUGCGCCGUAUUAGCUAGUUGGUAGGGUAACGGCUUACCAAGGCGACGAUACGUAGCCGACCUGAGAGGGUGAUCGGCCACACUGGAACUGAGACACGGUCCAGACUCCUACGGGAGGCAGCAGUAGGGAAUCUUAGGCAAUGGGCGAAAGCCUGACGGAGCAACGCCGCGUGAGUGAUGAAGGUCUUCGGAUCGUAAAACUCUGUUAUUAGGGAAGAACAAAAGUGUAAGUAACUGUGCACGUCUUGACGGUACCUAAUCAGAAAGCAACGGCUAACUACGUG